rnacentral:misc_RNA from 1 species
GAAAAAAAAAAAAAAAAAGAAGGGGAAAAAAAAGAAACGAAAAGAAAAUCUAGCAAUUAGAUAUACCUCCUAAAAAUUACAAUAGUGAACAUCUAAUCAUAAAUUAUCUGCUCUUCCCCAUUCUCCUUUUAAAUGAUUCCUUUGCCUCUCCAUUUAAGCAAAUAAUCUUCAUUUGGUAUCUGGCUAACGUAUAAUUCAUCAGCUCUGUUACAAUUCAGACCUUUCAAUUUUGCACCUUCCAUGUCUCCAUUCUCUUUACAUAAGCUCAGAAAGAUGACAGAACAUACCCCACUAACCAAUAUUAGUACCACCUUCAAAACCCUUAAGCAUAAGAUCAAAGAAGUCAGGGAUGAUGGAUAGCCUAGUGAUAAGAUACUUUAUUUUGGAAUCACGUGGACCCAUUCGUAACGUCCAGGGAGUGGCAAAUCAUUUACAACAUCAAAGUUGUACUUCUCAAUGAAUAAUCUCUGUUGCUUCUGUUCUGCACAGGCAAAAAAUUCCUCCAUGUCUUUUGUUGUUGGGUUAUUUCUCUGAAUGACAUUCCUAACUCUACGGUUAGUUGUAGUUGAGCUUCCCUGUCUUGUGGUGGAACCUGGGGUUCCAAUGCUAUUUGAGUCUCUUAUCAAGCUGCACGGUGUGCUUUCUCUAGUGCUUCUGCUUAUCAAAAUAUUAAAACAAAUAACGCCAAUAAAUACAAUAAAUGCUGAUGGGAAAUUCAUGUCCAGAUUAUUUCAUGGUUCCUAAAAUAGCUUCACCAAAUUUCUUUCCAAUCAAUAAUUGAAAACUUUCAGAUAUAAAAAUAAUAUCAAACUAAAGUAAAUAGACAUCACUAUUAUUGUGGAAAAGGAACUUAUGCAAAGAAAGUAAGUCGCACUAUUUACAAGGACAACAUCCAAUUUGGAAGUCAGGUGCCAUACAAUGAAAGCAAGAAAACUGGAACUUUUUGUCACCUACUGAUAGCCCUAAAACAGAGUAUCCCAAAUAAAUGUAUCAGUCAGCAACUAGGCCCCAUGAACAUGAUAUAUCAUUAUCCACUAACAUGCUAACACAAAUGAGGCUGAAGAGUUAUUGGCACCGUAUAGCGGUUGAAAAACUGAGAAAAAACGAAGCCACAACAGCAGUGAUUCAAACCUGGAAUAUCUCACUUGAGCGAUAGCACCCCUUUUUUUGGGGUAGUUAAACCAUAAUUCUAUCUAUUUCAUGGAUCUGAAUUAUGCUUGAGGGCCCAGAUAAAGCUAUCAAAAAGAAAAGGAUUCAUGAACUAAUAUUGCCGACAACAGAAAAUUACCAAGAUUAUUCACAGGAUAGUGAUAUUUAAGUCAGUCUGAGAUUAUAAAUCAGAAAAAAAAAAUGCAUAUUCUUUAUUCAAAUCCUGUUGCACCCUUGAAAAAGAAAGGAGAUAAAUCAGUUUCCACAAUAGAAAGAAACGCAACUUGAAACGUUAAUAACUCUGCUGGUGGGCACAUGUUGCAUAAUGGAAACCUAUGUAAAAUAUAAAUUAAAAGAACCACAUCUUACGAGUCACAAACAUCACUAACCUUUUGUGAAAGCAAU